GGCCUCUUGGGAUAGCUUAUGGAGUGAUGGCGUGAGUAUGUUAUAGGGUCAGGACGCACUUAGAUGCAGAGCACUGUUUAAUGGAGGUGCUGAGGGGCAAACCUUUGUGCCAGGGAGAAGCAGCUCAACAGGUUUGGCGACAGCAGCACCGAAGCAGAUGCAGAGACCGUCUCGACGUCCACGGUGCCAAGGCGUUCUUUUCUGUCAAGGAUGGACUUGCAGCUGAUGAAGAGACACCAGCCUGGUGACAGCAGGACAUUGCCAGAGGGCGGGGUGGCCUUCCUUCGCUCCCAAUGUGGAUUCUGAUCCCCAGAUUUCCCAGAGAUAAGUGGAGGGCUUGGGCCACAGAGGGGAUGAAAAUGAAGCGCUGGGUUGGGACUUGCCGGGGGGAUUUGAGUCAGGUUUGGAUAUGAGGAUGUCCAAGAUGUGACCCCUUAGGCCACAGCAAGGGCGUCUCUCCCAGCACUGAGGUGUGCAGGGCCGAGCAGUCCCGGUAUGUGUCAUGUCACUUGUCUGUUGUGUCUUUUGUGUGUCUCAUGUAGCAGGACUUUUGCUUUAGCCCUUUGAGGGGCCUAUCAAGAACACCAGGCAUUGUUCUUAGCAUCUGCCUAUUCCUCAGCUAGGUGCCAAUACCCUUGAGCCUUUGGCUCAGACUUAUAUCUGAAUCACAUCUCUUUUCAGAAGCAUCCAGUCCAAUGUCUUCUCAGGUCUUGUUCUAAGCUCUAGCAACAGCUGUUCAGCGCCACCGUCCAUUAUGGUGGGUUAGGACUUGUCAAAAUGCGAAGAUAGAGGAUUCUGACUGUGGGACUCUUGGGCAUCCAUCUUUGCUGUUCUUGGAAUGAGUCCUCUUGUUAGCAUCUUCUUCCUGCAGGGUUCUGUGAGCCUGGCCAGCUCGCCGUUGGUCUUACCUCGGUCAUCUCAGGCUGAGUUCUCUUGGUCCUCACGGUUGUUCUUCUUACCCAGAGCUCUUUUUGUUCUUCUUGCAUCCCCUCGUUUGCAGUCUCCUGUGUCACGGGUGUUGGUGUGUC